GAGUUUGAUCCUGGCUCAGAUUGAACGCUGGCGGCAGGCUUAACACAUGCAAGUCGAGCGGUAACAGGGGAGCUUGCUCCUGCUUUAGAGCGGCGGACGGGUGAGUAACGCGUGGGAAUCUACCCAGUAGCGGGGGAUAACUUGUGGAAACGCAAGCUAAUACCGCAUACGCCCUAAGGGGGAAAGUAGGGGAUCUUCGGACCUUGCACUAUUGGAUGAGCCCGCGUCGGAUUAGCUAGUUGGUGAGGUAAAGGCCUUACCAAGGCGACGAUCCAUAGCUGGUCUGAGAGGAUGUUCAGCCACACUGGGACUGAGACUCGGCCCAGCCCAGACUCCUACGGGAGGCAGCAGUGGGGAAUAUUGGACAAGGGGCGCAAGCCUGAUCCAGCCAUACCGCGUGUGUGAAGAAGGCUCUAGGGUUGUAAAGCACUUUAAGUUGGUAGGAAAGGGUGAUGGUUAAUAUCCAUUAUCUGUGACGUUACCAACAGAAUAAGCACCGGCUAACUCCGUGCCAGCAGCCGCGGUAAUACGGAGGGUGCAAGCGUUAAUCGGAAUUACUGGGCGUAAAGCGCGCGUAGGUGGUUGUGUAAGUGGAAUGUGAAAGCCCUGGGCUCAACCUGGGAACUGCAUACCAAACUGCGCGACUAGAGUACGAUAGAGGGGGGUAGAAUUUCAGGUGUAGCGGUGAAAUGCGUAGAGAUCGGAAGGAAUACCGGUGGCGAAGGCGGCCCCCUCGAUUGAUACUGACACUGAGGUGCGAAAGCGUGGGUAGCAAACAGGAUUAGGUACCCUGGUAGUCCACGCCGUAAACGAUGUCUACUAGCCGUUGGAACCCUUAGAGGUUUUAGUGGCGCAGACGCAAUAAGUAGACCGCCUGGGGAGUACGGCCGCAAGGUUAAAACUCAAAUGAAUUGACGGGGGCCCGCACAAGCGGUGGAGCAUGUGGUUUAAUUCAACGCAACGCGAAGAACCUUACCUACUCUUGACAUCCAGAGAAUUCGCUAGAGAUAGCUUAGUGCCUUCGGGAACUCUGUGACAGGUGCUGCAUGGCUGUCGUCAGCUCGUGUCGUGAGAUGUUGGGUUAAGUCCCGUAACGAGCGCAACCCUUGUCCUUAUUUGCCAGCACGUAUGGUGGGAACUCUAAGGAGAAUGCCGGUGACAAACCGGAGGAAGGAGGGGACGACGUCAAGUCAUCAUGGCCCUUACGACCUGGGCUACACACGUGCUACAAUGGCGUAUACAGAGGGCUGCCAACCAGCGAUGGUGAGCGAAUCCCACAAAGUACGUCGUAGUCCGGAUUGGAGUCUGCAACUCGACUCCAUGAAGUCGGAAUCGCUAGUAAUCGUGGAUCAGAAUGCCACGGUGAAUACGUUCCCGGGCCUUGUACACACCGCCCGUCACACCAUGGGAGUGGGCUGCACCAGAAGUAGAUAGCUUAACCCUUCGGGGAGGACGGUCACCACGGAGUGGUCAAUGACUGGGGUGAAGUCGUAACAAGGUAGCCGUA
rnacentral:rRNA from 1 species